UGUACCAGGGAUGAACUAAAAAAAGAUGCAAGCUUUUCUGACUGAUUUCACUUUUAUUCCCCAGUGCACACUGAAGGCCAGUCUCGGGCAACAAGGACCCGCACGUUGGAUCCAGAAUUGCUAAAGCAAGGAGCUGAAAGGCAACAAAAUGUUAAUCUAGGAAACAGAUUUCUCCAGAAAUCUUCAGAAACAUUUUUGAAAAGCAACUCUAUGAUUUGUGAUGAGAGAGUAGGCAAGGUAAGAUAGAAUCAUUUAUAGGCUUCACUAACUAUUUCAUAAAUAGCUACAAUUGA
rnacentral:lncRNA from 1 species